CUGGGUGUCUAUGAAAUGGGAAUUCCAGUAGGAAAAAUGUGUUUGUAUACAGUUUGUGCCUGAAUAUGGCCUGAUAGAUGCCUACGGUGUGUAUUGAUGUGGGAACUGAUAAUAUCGCACUCUUAAAAGACACAUUUUACAUAGGCUUGUACCAGAAACAAGAUUGCACACAACAGUAUGAUGACCUGAUUGAUGAGUUUAUGAAAGCUAUUACUGACAGAUAUGGCUGGAACACACUCAUUCAAUUUGAAGAUUUUGGAAAUCAUAAUGCAUUCAGGUUCUUGAAAAAACAUCAAUAAAAAUACUGCACUUUCAAUGAUGAUAUUCAAGGGACAGCUGCAGUAGCUCUAGCAGAUCUUCUUGCAACACAAAAAGUUAUUAAUAAACCAGUCUCCGAACACAAAAUCUUAUUCCUUGGAACAGGAGAGACUACUCCUGGAAUUGCAAAUCUUAAAAAAGUAUGUCUAUGGUAGAAAAUGGCCUGUCAGAAGAAGAGGCUCAAAAGAAAAUCUGGAUGUUUGACAAGUAUGGUUUAUUAGUUAAGGGGCGGAAAGCAAAAAUAGAUAGUUAUCAGGAACCAUUUACUUACCCAGUCCCAGAGAGCAUACCUGAUACUUUUGAAGAUGUGGUGAAUACAAUGAGGACUUCAACUACAAUUGGAGUUGCAGGCGCUGGCCAUCUUUUCACUCCUGAUGUAAUCAGAGCCAUGGCCCCUAUCAGUGAAAGGCCUGUAAUAUUUGCAUUAAGUAAUCCUACAGCACAGGCAGAGUGCAGGGCCGAAGAAGCAUAUACACUUACAGAAGGCAAAUGUUUGUUUGCCAGUGGCAGUCCAUUUGGGCCAGUGAAACUCACAGAUGGGAGAAUCUUUACACCAGAUCAAGGAAACAAUGUAUAUAUUUUUCCAGGUGCGUCUUUAGCUGUUAUUCUCUGUAACACCCAGCAUAUUAGCGACAAUGUUUUCCUAGAAGCUGCAAAGGCAUUGACAAGCCAAAUGACGGAUGAAAAGUUAGCCCAAGGGAGACUUUACCCACCACUUGCUAAUAUUCAGAAAGUUUCUAUUAACAUUGCUAUUAAAGUUACAGAAUACCUAUAUGCUAACAAAAAUGGCUUUCCAAUACCCAGAACCUGAAGACAAGGCCAAAUAUGUUAAAGAAAGAAUAUGACGGAGUGAAUAUGAUUCCCUGCUGCCAGAUGUGUAUGAAUGGCCGGAAUCUGCUUCAAGCCCUCCUGUGAUAACAGAAUAGAAGCACUCCCCUGAUAAAUACUUCCUGUACUCCGGGGAACCCCUGUUUUACAGACAAGAAGAGAUAAUGUCCUCAGUUUUAUGGUGUUUUCUGUAUUUUGUUCUCCUGACCACUUUGGUUAACAUAUUUUUUCCAUAUGUCUCCACAUCUGUUGGGGUAGACCUGUUGAUGGAUUGCCGACCAGCACCCUACAAUCAGUUAAUUGUGAUGCUUUAAUUCUAACAUAAAUACCAUACCACAUCCAGGAGACAGAAAAAGUUUGUUUGUCAAUGUCUUCACUUGUACUCUAAUUCAGACUUGCCGAAGUACUUGCUAUUUAC